GCUAGCGUAGCUUAAUAUAAAGCAUAACACUGAUGAUGUUAAGAUGGGCCCUAAUAAGCUCCGCAUGCG
rnacentral:tRNA from 1 species